CCGGUCUCAUGGCUGCUGCCAUGGGUUUUCUUGUUUUGUGUGGAAUAUUUAAACAUUUAAACUUCUAGAAGUAGUAAUGAUGUCAUUGUGUACCUCUAUCAACUUGUGAAAAAAGGAAAUAUUUCAAAUAGUUUCUUUGUAGGCAGGUGCUGACGUCACAAGAACGAGAAAAACUUUAAAGAUCUUCCAUUAUUGCAGAUAGUGAACACUGAACAGACAGGCAGGUAAGCAAUAGCGCACGGUCGUCCACGCUCCGACAAGUUGGGGGUCUGCACUUCUUCUGCGAUCGGUUUCGGUUACGUAGACCGACGGACGGACGCCGGGGAAGAUGACCAGCGGUGGUGGCGCCGGUAGAGCAAAACAGCACAACAUGGGCACCGUCAUGGCGCGACACAGCCUGCCGAAGAUACCGACGAUGAUGGGGCAGACGACGCGCGUCGCGCAGAGCAAGACCGAUCUGC